rnacentral:rRNA from 1 species
CCUACGGGAGGCAGCAGUGGGGGAUAUUGCACAAUGGGGGAAACCCUGAUGCAGCGACGCCGCGUGGGUGAAGAAGCGCCUCGGCGCGUAAAGCCCUGUCAGCAGGGAAGAAAAUGACGGUACCUGAAGAAGAAGCCCCGGCUAACUACGUGCCAGCAGCCGCGGUAAUACGUAGGGGGCACGCGUUAUCCGGAUUUACUGGGUGUAAAGGGGGCGCAGACGGCGAUGCAAGCCAGGAGUGAAAGCCCGGGGCCCAACCCCGGGACUGCUGUUGGAACUGCGUGGCUAGAGUGCAGGAGGGGCAGGCGGAAUGCCUGGUGUAGCGGUGAAAUGCGUAGAUAUCAGGCGGAACACCGGUGGCGAAGGCGGCCUGCUGGACUGCAACUGACGUUGAGGCCCGAAAGCGUGGGGAGCAAACAGGAUUAGAUACCCUAGUAGUC